CUUACACACUCCCUGCUUUAAAGUCACAGUCUGUCGUUGAACUUUCGCCAAGUAACUUGAUACGUACAUAUACACGUCUCUAGAAAUCAGUUUUCGACGAAAAUACAUACGUGAUAUGUUAUGUUGCAACCGAACGUGAAUUUUUCGCGGGAAAUACCUCGAUAUGGUUUAUAUAUGCGUCUCUCAAAUGCGAAUUUUACUAUACGCUUCGUUUAAGGCACGCCAUUUUGCAAAACGAUUAUCGAAAGAUGACUGCUUACAUCGAUCGAGAUCGAGAAUAGAUUCGCAGGAAGCUGGAUGCCGCGAUUUCUUCCCGCUCUUUACUUUUUUCCGGAGCUGUGAUUGGUUGAUUUCCUGCUGCCAUAUUUCGCCGAGAAUUAUUUAGUUAUUUAAUUUAUUUCAUAAUAUUAUUUAACAUAUAUCGUGAAAAGUUCUGAGUAAUCGGAUUCUUUUGUUAUCGUUUCAUCGUGUAUUAGCAUUAUCAGCUCUCGGUAUCGAAUUGACAAACGGAAUUUUUCUCACACAAAGUAAGUCACAUUAAGUAUAUGUAUAUGUAUAGUCGAAGCAAUGCAAUUAAAAAUUUUUCUAUUUUAAUUGGAAUUACUUAUCAAAAUACAGACAUUUUACCAAGCAUUUCUUUUAUAAAUCUUAUAUAUAUAUACAUAUGAACGCGCACACACACACACACACACAAUACAAUAGAAAUAAUUUUGUGUGCUAUUAUACGCAGUUCGAUAGUUUAUAUUUCACGUGUCCCGUGUUGCACCCGCGUUGGUUUCGUUCCUGUCUCUAACGUAUAAAUGUAGCGUCAGUGAUUCGCGUGACGCGACGUAACUUUCAACGUUUGUUUUUCUCCGUUUAUGCGUCGUGUGUUCGUUUGAAUGAAAAUAUCCCGAGUGUUGUAACAAAAACCACGGAAAACAGAAGAAGAAUACGGGAGCAAAAGGAAUUCCAGGCUGCAGCAGAAUGCCUAUUGUCUAGCAGGGUUUCGUUCCAUGGUAUUUCAACGGGCGCCCUCCGCCCAGGGAAUGACUCGCAUACAUGAGGGCUGCGCGAGUUGGAAAAACCCUGCCCUCACCUUGCGGCUCAUUGAACGAGUUGAACCGACUCUUUCGGGCGGCAGCUGGCUUAGCUGACGUCACACGAUGCAUUGCGUCGCGUCUUACCAGGAGGUCACUGCGCGGUGGCGGAGCUGCCAGCAUAUAGCUCGGUCCCAGCUGAUUGGCUCUCCGGCCGAUUAUCCCUGCACCGUCGCGACACCUAUUUGGGCACCGCCUGCACCGACAGUUCCAGAUUUCCUCUCCGGCCACACGUUUUUUGUUUUGCACAAUUAAUCUGACGUCUUUGAGUAAUUAUUCUUCACAAUGAAAAUGCUCGAUUUAAAUACUUGAAAAAUAAAUGAGAAUGCCGUUGUAUAAAUGCGUUAAACAAUAAGUUCAACUUCUCAUAAUUGGUAAUUUAAUAAAUUCGGCAAAAUGAACGCGGCUCGUUAUUUCCUCGAGCAUCGAUGGUUUCCCAAUAUCCAACGAUCCACUCAAAGAGAAUAGAAUUUGAAGAUCACAAGGGAACAUAACAAGUUCAUUUUGUCGCACUUUGGACGUUACUUGGCACGUAAGUUGGAAUGUCCCGUGUCGUACGUUUGGAUAGGCGAAGAUCAAAUUAGGUUCUUUCCGUGGUUUUCAAAUUCUGCCAUUCUGAAAAUUGAUCUUUGCGUGCUUGGAAAUUGGCGUUUAAAUAAGUAACGAAGCCGUGUUUCCCUUAUCGACAUCCAUAUACUAUAUCGAUCAUGUUAUGGUUACAUGUUGUGGUUUGCAUAUAAGUUACCUCCAGUCGUCUCGAUGUUCUCGCGUGAAGCGCUUCGCUGAACAGGCUCAAAGUUCACGUUUCUUAGAAACGGAGGUAAAACAAGGAGGUACGUAGCAAGAAAUGAUGAAGAAAUGGAACAAAUUAUUAUUAAAAGAUCUAUAGAUAACAAUGGGAGUAGACAGCAUGCCAGCAGGGAAUAUAAUUAGAAUAACCAAGUAGAGAGAACUAGGAGAAUAUCAUACAUGUGCAUGGAAAUUCCUGAUAUUCUAAAUGUAACUCAGUGAGAAAUGUUAAUGAUUUGGAAUAAUGAAUUACAGUGCGUGAAUAAUUUUAAAUUUAUAAGGUUUGACAAGAAAGAUUUAAACAAGGUAUUAAAGCUAAGAAAAAGAAUGAAAAUAAGCCAUGUUAGACUAUCCAAAUCUCUAUUAGCUGUGCCUGUAAACGAGAACAAUUUAUUAAGUAAGAUUAAGUAAUUGAUUCAGAUGAAAAUAAUCAAUCGAUAGAAUGUAUAAUGGAAAUAGAAUAAAUGCUGUAGAUAUA
rnacentral:lncRNA from 1 species